ACGUCAUGUUUUGAACGUCAGUGUAUUUUGUAAUGUAACGCGUUGCAGGCGGCCUAAGCAGCCUAAGUGGUCACUUGACAAACUUUAGCUGCGUCGUGCCAUCAUGUAUACGGAGUGUGGACGUAUUUGUGGCUGCGUCCUGCUUUUCCUGAUUUUUGGAAGCUGCAGCGCACAGAUCGGCAGCAAAUGCACAUUCCUUAGCUGUCGCUUCGCCAGGCACGCUGCUUGCGAUGCCAACAAUAUCUGCCGGUGCAAGCCGGACUACCCUGUGCAGGUGUCACCGCUCAAGUGCGCAAAAGCACGACGAAAUCUGGAGGUGUGCACUGACAGCAAAGAAUGCACCGUUACAGAUGCAAAUAUGUACUGCUCUCAAACGUCAUCGCAGAGUCGUUGCGAGUGCCAUAUUGAUUUCACCUAUAACGAAGAGUCAAGAUCCUGUGAACCUUUGAAGCUUCCUCCCGUGGCACCAGACAUUCUUUUGCCCAUGGCUGUGGGUGUUUCAGUAGCACUGUCCAGCAUGCUCUGCUGCUUCCUUGCCCUGUGGCGACUUUGUAAACGGGCCAACAAUAACUUCCUGAGCAGUUUACAAACCAGUGGCAGUGUAAAUUCAAGAGCGACACGGGAGCACACGCCUGUCCGGACGCAGGACUCGUGGAGUUCCGAUACGUUGCCUUCAUACGAAGCAGCAGUGUCGCUAAAGAGGCCAUCAUCGUCUCAAGAAGACCCUCCACCACCAUACAGUGAAGCUGUUACACUGCAACUACCCUUGUCUGAAACAAAAGUGUGACCACGGUGCUUCUACUGACAAGUCUGGAUCCUUCCCAAGCGUUGCUGUAUCAAGCACAGGCCGGGCCAUAUUGGUCGCAUGGAUCUCUUCGGGCUGACAUAGAAUAACGAGACAACACAGAAUGCUCACUGCCGGUCUAAAAGUGAAUGCACCGGACAGCUGCCUGCCAUGGGUGCCUCUGUGUCUUGUCAGCGGCUCGUGGAAACUUACGGCCAAUCAUUCCACUACUGCAAGUGGCAUGGAACUUCCCAGCAAUGUCAUCUGCAAACGGGGAGAGAAACUUUACGAUUUUAAGUGACUCGCCAGCUUUGACCUUGUUUUAUGUAAAUUGACAGUGAGCCGACGUUAUGCACAGGCAAGGAGUGUCCAAUCGUGGUAUAGUAUGACAGUGUAGUGGCCUUACUGAGUUGUUAAUUGCAUUGUACCAUUGGCUGGCUGUAGCACACACUUUCCGUUUACAAGUAGCACAGUUUUUUGUUCUCCAUUCGAAUCAGCAAGAAUGGAACAGUACAGCUUUACUGGUAUAUUUUGCACAGGCUCGUAGGAAGUGAUGUUAACCAAGAUACUAUGUGAAUUUUGUACAGUAGAGCUUCUCCAGGUUUGUUUCUAUAGCAGCCCCUGCCUUUAUGCGUGAAACUUGUGGAUCGGUCAAGCCUACAUGUAGCCAGCGCAAUCGUCACAGUGAUUGUACUGGUGUAUCACUCCUGUUUUAACUUUGGACCAGGCUUCAGGAUGUGGACUUUACGAAACCAGAUCGAAACUGACAAGAAUUUCCUUUGAAAUGCAAAAUUAGUAACGUAAAAACAGGCGGGUGUUCUAGGAAGGCCUUACUGGCAGCCUUUCACUUCAGGGAUGCAAAUUCACCAUUAGCAGUGCAUAUGCUCGCAGUGUGGUCAUGCUGUUGGAAGUUUCAGUAGUGUCAAAGCAUUUAAUGCCUGUUUGUUUCAAGCAAAACAAGUUAUCAAACCCAUUAUCUCCACCGCAUUUUGAAAUUUAUCAUGCGAGACAUGAAAGGAACUUGUAUUGCAUGUGAUCAGGUAACUGAAGAUUAUUGAGAGAUAAGCAAGUACAGUGGCACGAACUGUAAUAAAUUCGAAAAAUAUGCAUUUGAUAUAUUACAGUCACAGGGGAUAAAAAACAGGCAAGAACUUAAGUGGCCACACAACUUAACUGCUUAUCACUUUGAUAAAGCGAUAAGGAAUCUCUGAAAAGAAAGCCUACCACAUCCGGCUUGCUUAUUGAUAUCAGACGGAAAACUAAGGGGAAUGGAGAAUGUCAUUUCGUUUGCAGUGUUCGGAGGAACUCUGCGGUGUAAGUAAAAGAGGACAGAACAUGCACCAAGUCAGUUUGCACCUGUUCACUACUUUCAAGAAAAUACUGCUUUGAGCAUGCAAAUAUCCGGCUGUCAGUCUCAGUGCCAUAGGUUGGCAUCAAACAAGUCUUGCUGAACUGUCUUUGUUUGUGAUAGCUGAGCACACACUUAUGUGGAACUGUUGUAAAUGGGCUCGGCUGCGCUAGUGCACUCCAAGGUGCACUCCAAAGCACUUUACUACAGUAAUGCGGGGUUUAAAAAGAUAGAGCCGCAAGGCUGCAAAGGGACCAUUGAAGCUUGCAAAUCAGUCUGCAGUUCUCGUGUGGGAAGUUGUUAUAUUGGUCAGGCUUUGAUCGAAAUAUGGCAGCAUUCUGUUUCGUAAGUAAGUGUGCCACAUCAGCGGGUUGAAUGCAGAUAUACCAUGUUCCUCUUUGCUUGCAUGCUAAGCAAAGUCACCGCAACGGACUCAUAAUUGCGGAAAAUGUAUUUAUUGUCUUUUUAUUUUUUAGUGGUACUAUACUAGUAGUAGCAUGCGUGUGGAUUUUUCAUCUGAAAUGUGUGUAUGUGCAUGUGUGUGUGUAUAUAUGGUAUACUUCUAGCAAACAUUCUUGUAUUGGUGAUCAACUGUGCGUGAACACUAAUGUGAAGAGUUAUUGGUAGCUUCACUUUCCUAGGCACAUUCUUAGACAUUCCAUUUUGCUGUCAGGCAGAACAUGUGCAAAGAAGCAAUCCUAUUCAGCACAUUUGAUAAGACAGAACAGUUACAUUCUACAAGCAUAUUCACUGAAAAUUGCCUUUAAAGUAAGGGUGUGCGAAUAGUGAAAUGUUAUCUCGAAUCGAAUUCGAAUAGAAUAGUGCCGAAUAGUGGCCAAAAAUGUCGAAUAUCGAAUCGAAUAUCGAAUACAAAGCAUUUUGUUGAAAAUUCAAAGAAAGAAGAACGGUAAUGCUGCGCUUCAUCGUCAUGAGUGCUCUGGGCCCAAAAAUCUUCGGCUGCCUGUUGACAGCAGCGUUUUAUUUGCGCGCCGGAACGAUGGGAGUUUCUGAUCGAGUGGCGCGGUGCAGCAGUGGCGAUCGCACAGCGUGAACAAAUUUUCAUAUGUCAAGCCAUUCAACGAGGGUUUCGCGGGCCAAAUUCGGGACGUUUACAGACACGAACUUUGCAAGAAGUCCGUGUCUUCGUUUCGGAAGCGAAGUUGUGAACGGCUUGAUAGUUCUCGAAUGUGUUCUUUUUGUUUACGGAAAUGGCAUAAUCUCCUUUAAAAUAAACUUGUGGUCACUUUAAGCCAGGAUAUCGGUGCAAGUUUUAACGAAAGGUGUACUGUAAAGGUGUUAGCGUUAGUUUUAGCUACUCCACCCUAACCAAGUUGCACAGUUGGCCUUUGUCGCGUUUUAGAUAUUCGUCUUAUCGAAUUAUUCGAUUAGGUGUUGUUCGAUUUGAAUUCGAAACUUGAAUAUCCACACACCCCUACUUUAAAGCAGUUAUAAGCCAAUAUAUCUGCUGACAACUCCUGUGCAUGCCAGCUUAAUAAAUGUGCAGUUACGUACGGCAUGGCAGCAAUCCAUUGUGGGUAAAACACUAUCAAAGAAGCAGCAAGAGCAUCGUGGACUGUUGCUUUGCAGGCAACACACUGGAUCUGUACAAAAGCAGAUCUCUUGAGCCAACAUACAGAGCACGUACUUCAUAUUCACUACCCGUUCUAGCAUACAUGACGAACCACAUUGUAACAGUUUUUUACGUGCAGCAAGCUAAAACUAGACUAGAAUUGGACUUUUUUUUUAUUCGGCACUUCGAAGUAAAAUUUGGUGCAAAGUAUAUGGAUUUCUGUAUAAUUCGUUGCAAGGGAUACUUCAUAACAGUACAUCUUCUUCAACAGGUGUGCUUUCUGUGAGAUUCGAGUUAAUAUUGGCCUUUACAAGGCAGCAAGAGGUGAAAAUUAGGCAGCUCAAUUACAGCAAAGGCACUUUAGAAUCCUCUUGAAUUCUGGACGCUCUUGACGUUAGGUUUCCUCUUUGUUGCUUUCAGUUUCUAUAAAGAAAUAAUUCAGUGCACCUCACUGUAACGGGUACUCCAUACUUGCUCAAGGUGCUCCUUACCGAAUUCAUUAAGUAGGACUUCCAACACAGUUGUUUGCUCAAGGUACGUCGGUGCCAUUCGCACGGCCUAUUGGCCUCCAAAAUAUGCCAAGUAAGCGUCUCUCACUGACUAGCGUGCGAACGGUGUGAUUUGCAUACUUGCAAUGACCAACGUUGCCAAUUUUUAAAAUUUUUAUCUUGAAGAUUUCACAAGCAGAUUGUGCCUGCAUUCGUGCCUACAUUUUAGAUGCCUUUUCGAGGGCUAAAAACGCACGAGAAAAAGAUUUUGUAGCCUUUUUUUUAACAGACUGACAGACUGGCACUUUACACCAAACGGGUUUGUACCACGUGAAUCCACGAGAUUAAUUGUACAUGUCUUCAGCACACUAUUUGCAUGCUGAUCGCUGUGGAGUAUUUUUCAGACACACCACGCAUGCGUCUUGUCGAAUCGUGGAGCAGAGACCAACAUUUAAGACUGACUAUGUGUAACACAUUACAUAUUUUGAUCUUUUUUUUUAUGGAAUGGUUCUUUACACCAUGUAUUUUAUAGAACAAUGUUGCUUAGGAGUGCCUGUGCCUGUAUGUACGUCACUGACAGCUUGCUGCUAUAGCGAUUUCUCAUUGCGCUUUGAGUGUUCAAUUUAAAAGGAUCUAAGUAGUUUUUGCUGAUAAUAGUGCGUGUUGCUAGGCUUGUGCGGAUAUUUGAGCGCUUUGGAUAUUUCAGUUAAUAUUACAGUAUUCGAAUUCACUUUGACAUGCAUUUCAAGUUUCCGAAAUUUUAAAGUAUUUGAAACUAACAAAUGUAAAUAUUUUACCGCAUGUAACUGGCCUGAAAAGGUGGUUUCAUUGGAGCGUGGGGUGCCAAUGCCAUGGCACCACCUAUUCAGGGGAAUGCCGCACUGCCGCAAAGCUAGGCUUCAAGGUUUAGGCGUGCAUGUUACUUGGACCCCAGUUCAUUUUGUUUUUUAAUCUUAAAGGGGUACUGACACCAUUUUUCAAAGCCGAGUUUACUCUGCCAUGCAGAUUUCCUGCACACAGAGACUGCUCUGAGCAAGUGUAAUGCUCAGGGAGCGUGGAUAUUUUAUUUUGACAAUAAAGUCAGUUUCCGUACGGCGCAAAUACAGACAUCGACACUAGUGCGACGUCAGGCUCAGUACCAAUUCCGGUGGCUUCAUGCACCACCAGUAUGGCUAGUUGUGAUGAUGUCAGGUACCAAAACAUACAAAAUGGCCUCUUGUGCAUCACCAACAGAGCCACAGAGCAGUGCUGCCAUAAAAACGUCGCGAUAUCUUGCACAAGCUUGAACAAAAAGCUAAUACUGUGUGGCGACGUCAGGGUACAGUGGCGACUGAAACUAGUUUUUAAAACAUGUAAUUAAUUUUUCAGGGCACACUCACGCAUACCACUACAUGCCCUUGUGGGCUUGGCCUUUCAUUCAACGCAAACAAACAACUGAAAUUUUUCGUGUCAGUACCCCUUUGGGUUAAGCACAUUGAAUUUUAAAGCUUAAUUUUACUGCUUAUAACUUGCAUCCUACCACUACUCAAAUCCCAUUACUAUUUGAAUUCACUUCGAAACUAUGCGGUACUACUUACCAUUGGCUUCAACUUAGCGUUGAACCAAGUAAGUGAUAUUUGUACAAGCCUACAUAUUGCGUAAAAACAAAAGAACCGUAAUGUAUCUUGGGAACCAGUGACAGCAUACUUUGUCACAGCAGAAACGACAUCUGGCAGUUGUAAAUUCUUGACUGCAUUUGUGGAUUUUUUUUUGUGUACAUGUGUGUAUUCACUACCUACUGAUGAGUGGACGAGUGCCAAGCUUUCGUGCAUUGAGAAGGCAGUAUAGCUUGCGCUGUAUACAUUUCAAUAAUACAUAGGACUGCACUGAAUGUCAUGUAUAGUACGACUUAUGGCCAAUGGAUUGCUGAUUUGUGUAGAUAAAUUGCACGCGCCAUGUGGAUUUUUUAUUAUUGCGGCACCCCUUGAACAACAAGUACGCUUAUUGCCGAGUAUAGUAUUUUUUUUUUUUGUAAAUACUGCAUACUUUGCCCAAAGAAUAAUAAAAACUUGCAACAAAUUUUA
rnacentral:misc_RNA from 1 species